AGUGUACAAGAUGUCAAAAGUGUUCACAUUUCACUGCGCUAUCGAUAAAAAUAAAGCCUCCAAAGAAACAUAUCGUCAUGAAACUUCAAGUGAUUUUUUGGGUCAAAAAUUGUGACCUUUGACCCUGAUGAUAUUUUUCAAAUUCUGGAAGGGCAGCCAGCCCCAAUAUUUCUGGGCUACCACUCUGAAAAUUUUCAAGCUGAUAUCGUUGCCAUUGUGUGAGAUAAAAAACUCCAUCCAUCGUGCAAUUUAAUUUGGCCCCCUAUUACCUAUUGUCUAUUCAAUAUGCAGUCAUGUUAAUUAUGACAUGUUAAUUAAAUUUGUGUUUGCAAAAACUAGUUUGGCCAAAAUACUUAUUAAGGCAAACGUACGGAGACCUCCAUUGUUUUUCUCACAAAUUUUGACAUUUUUUUAAAUCUUACUGUGUAACAUUUGCCCCGGCCUCUCCAUCAUGUCCGGAUGUUGUUGGACCAACUCGAAAUCUGGUCCUAGUCGCAACUCGAAUUUCAAAAUGUCAAAAUGUCAAAUUUGUUUAACCAAACCUACCAUCUAUUUAGUUGUAUUAUUACUACCAAUAUGACUGUUAAUUAACUUGAUGCCUUGGCCAGAAAUAAUGGAGUAAGAAAACAAUUGCAACUUUAACCUAUUGAGACAUUAAAAAAGAUUAGGAAUUUAAAAAGACAAAUUAUUGAAAAACCUACGAAUGUACAUAUUUACUUAUCUAGCUACACGCUUUCGGAUAGUUUAGAAAUUUUAUUGCUAGAACCCACCCCCACGUCGGAUAUCUAUAUUAUCACACAGCUCAUCCACCUCGCCCUCAUCGAUAUGCAUGAUACACCUGAAUUCCUCGACACUAUAUCUGUCGCAGAUCGUCAUCCAGUAUUCAUGUGCAUCCAUCCAACCCAUGCAAAUAUUUGCGUAUUUCUGCAAGUCCUCAUAAUUAGGGUGGUUCUCAAACUUCUUUCAUAAUUUGGAACGGCACUUUUGAAAAUUCCUGCAUGUAUUGUUGGCAUCAUCUUGUACGGAUUUGAAACAUUUAUCAAAGUCACCGCCAUUCAAGUAUCGGAUGCACACCGCGUUUAAUGGCUCUCCCACAAGUAGAUCUUUCUUGGCGGAGAAUAAAUCGUUUACCAAUGUAACAUGACUGGUCACCAUUCUUCUGAGGCUGACAAAUAAACAAUCUUCUCGAAUAUCUUGAGGGAUGUGGACCUAAAAUUGGGAAAUAAGUAAUUAUAAUCCGAUACUGUAAUUAAUUUCGUUAAGCAGGAUAAAAAUUGGAACUCGUAUUUUUCGUUUCCUUGAAUAUACUUUGCGACUUGAGGUUUGAGUAAUGGACAAAGCCCAAGUAUUACAAAAAUUAUCUAUAUGUUUUAAAAUGCUACUUUUCAUAUUUGUGAUUUUGAUUUUGAAAUUAAAGAUCAUGUUCAAAUUAUAAAAUCUUGCAGAGCAAGAUCAAGAUUGAAAGCUAGAGCCGUAGAUGAACGAUCAAGUGAUUAGCAAGCAAGAUAUUUUCUUGAUCUUUGAUCUGGUAUCUGAGGUAAUGGUCUUACCCACCUCUGUAUUUGGUCUGCUGCAUUUUGAGAUGUUUAAGUUCAAAUUUGGAGCAUGAACAUCUUUUUAGCUUAUAAAAUUUGUGGAAACUUUGAACGGGUAACAGCAGGGUUUUAAUUUAGUUGCACAUUUUUAACUAACCUUAUGAAUAUAGUUCACCAUCUCCAUGCAGGGGUAUGCUCCAAUAGUAUGCUCACGAACUUCGAGGCUUGUCGUGUACGUAAUAAACUCUUCCUUUAUGCUGUCGGAAGUGCCGUCAUCCACCGUGAGCAUUUCGCGAAGUUUAUUCAACAUUUUGGUGAUAGGAGUGAAGUCGGGAAAAAGUCGGUGAAAUUUGUCCUUGUCGAGGCCAAAUGUUGAGGCCACUUCGGACGGCGUAGCGCCUCCCUGUGAUUAAAAAAUUUUCACAGUGCUCAGUAUUUUGUACUAACGUGUAACCAUUUUAAUUAAAGGAGAAAUUUUCACAGAAAAUUUCUUGAAAGUUUGCACAUAAGAAAAACUACCGACGCCAUAAACCAAGACAAUGGCAUGAAUAUCAACCCCAUCUGGUCAUCAUUAAUGCUACCGCUUAUUUAAACUCCAUACCUACAGUGCAACAAAUAUCAUUUUUAAUUUGAGAAAUGUACUGUUUUCGAUUUCCAAACAAUUGUUAAAAGUCCUGAUGUCCUGAUGAUGAUGCAAGUUCAGCAUCGAAAGCUUGAAUAAAUUGCUUUUAGAAACCA